AGAGUUUGAUCAUGGCUCAGAUUGAACGCUGGCGGCAGGCCUAACACAUGCAAGUCGAACGGUAACAGGAAGCAGCUUGCUGCUUUGCUGACGAGUGGCGGACGGGUGAGUAAUGUCUGGGAAACUGCCUGAUGGAGGGGGAUAACUACUGGAAACGGUAGCUAAUACCGCAUAACGUCGCAAGACCAAAGAGGGGGACCUUCGGGCCUCUUGCCAUCGGAUGUGCCCAGAUGGGAUUAGCUAGUAGGUGGGGUAAAGGCUCACCUAGGCGACGAUCCCUAGCUGGUCUGAGAGGAUGACCAGCCACACUGGAACUGAGACACGGUCCAGACUCCUACGGGAGGCAGCAGUGGGGAAUAUUGCACAAUGGGCGCAAGCCUGAUGCAGCGACGCCGCGUGAGGGAUGGAGGCCUUCGGGUUGUAAACCUCUUUUAUCGGGGAGCAAGCGAGAGUGAGUUUACCCGUUGAAUAAGCACCGGCUAACUACGUGCCAGCAGCCGCGGUAAUACGUAGGGUGCAAGCGUUAUCCGGAAUUAUUGGGCGUAAAGGGCUCGUAGGCGGUUCGUCGCGUCCGGUGUGAAAGUCCAUCGCUUAACGGUGGAUCCGCGCCGGGUACGGGCGGGCUUGAGUGCGGUAGGGGAGACUGGAAUUCCCGGUGUAACGGUGGAAUGUGUAGAUAUCGGGAAGAACACCAAUGGCGAAGGCAGGUCUCUGGGCCGUUACUGACGCUGAGGAGCGAAAGCGUGGGGAGCGAACAGGAUUAGAUACCCUGGUAGUCCACGCCGUAAACGGUGGAUGCUGGAUGUGGGGCCCGUUCCACGGGUUCCGUGUCGGAGCUAACGCGUUAAGCAUCCCGCCUGGGGAGUACGGCCGCAAGGCUAAAACUCAAAGAAAUUGACGGGGGCCCGCACAAGCGGCGGAGCAUGCGGAUUAAUUCGAUGCAACGCGAAGAACCUUACCUGGGCUUGACAUGUUCCCGACGGUCGUAGAGAUACGGCUUCCCUUCGGGGCGGGUUCACAGGUGGUGCAUGGUCGUCGUCAGCUCGUGUCGUGAGAUGUUGGGUUAAGUCCCGCAACGAGCGCAACCCU
rnacentral:rRNA from 1 species